CCAGGUUUGCAGAAGAAGGGGGGGGGCUCAAGUCUGCAAUCAAGGGAGUCUGCAUGGUGGUCUCUGUUGUUUGAAGGCAAGGUGCUCGGGAAUGAGCUACUGGCUAAAUCGUUUGGUGAUCUCAAGGAUGUGCUCUCUGAUGUGGGAAACGUGGUCGACGACAAGCUCUGACUACUACAGGCUCCAACAAGUAUUGUGAUUAUCUUCAAUCUUUAUCUUCAGGCUUCUAUUCUGAACCAAUAAACUUGAACAGCUACAAGAAGCAUCUUUCCAUGGAGCUUAAAUGCCUUUUCCAAUACAUAGUUAAUCAACCGACGAAAGGAUUGGGUACUGAGCUUCUUGUACUUGAGGAUGCUAUGUCAGGAAGUGAAACGUUGUGGCUUCAAGGAGUGAAGAAAUUGGAUUGGGAUCAAUGGAGUAAAUCAAACAAGGAUGCAACUCAUGUUCGUGUUGGUAGUCAUUCAGACAUUUAUUAACUCUGUAGUAAAUAGUUCACAUAGUAGAGCUAGCCGUGGUGCAGAGGCUAGAUAGUUUUAGUAUUCAGACUUUCAGUUGCUGCUAGCUCUACUCUGCUUUGUCCUUUCAUAAUGGCAAUGUAGCAGCUGUGUGAUACGUUGGCAAUACGGAGUCUUCACUGCAUAUUACCUACCGGAACCGAUAUGUGUUUGUCGACAUAAAAUUUUAACCUAAAUUUGCUAUUCAGGUGGCAAAUCCAAUAAUUUAUGUACUGUAUUUGCAUUUUGCAAGAUAAUUUGACUGCCAAAGUGCUACAUCGUAUCUCACUGGACCUAUUGAGUUGCUUCCAUGACCAUACUUCAAAUAGGGGUAUAUUAGUUUGCCUCUCAUCAUCAACUUUGGACCCUCUUUAUGUGGGCAUUUUUUCUCAAAGCGUACUUGUAUAAAAUAAACUGUAUUUGGUUUUCAGUUUAUAUCUGUCCAUGGUUUUGCUCACAUCACAAAUUUUGACAGCUAGACAGUUCCCGAGUUCGGUCCAACCGAAACACUGCAUUUAUCUUUCUCCAUGAGUAUGGUGGAACCCAACAUCCAUUCAACCUUUAAAUUGGGGCUCCAUGGCUACCAACCGAUGGAGCAAGACUGGAGACCACCCUCUCCUCCUCCAAUUUGGAGCUCCAUGGCCGCCAUUCAACAGGCGCACUGCCAUCGUUGCCUCCUCACCGCCUCACCUGGGAGAGCACAGGCGCCAACAUCGCCCACGACCCGCCGCAUGUUCGAUCAACAAACUGUAGUUCAAUUAGGUCUGUUGCUCCUCUUACAUGCAGAGCCUGGGAAGAUCAUGGUCUUCUCUCAUUCUCUUGUGAACAAUGUAAAA